AGUGAACGCUGGCGGCGUGCCUAAUACAUGCAAGUCGAACGGAGUGGCGCACGGGUGAGUAAUAUAUAGCUAAUCUGCCCCUUGCUGGAGGACAACAGUUAGAAAUGACUGCUAAUACUCCAUAGCAAGGGAUGAGACCAGAUCGUAUCAGCUAGUCGGUUGGGUAACGGCCUACCGAGGCUAUGACGCGUAGCUGGUCUGAGAGGAUGAUCAGUCACAGUGGACGUGAGACACGGUCCAAACUCCUACGGGAGGCAGCAGUAUGGAAUAUUGCGCAAUGGGGGAAACCCUGACGCAGCAACGCCGCGUGGAGGAUUACACUUUUCGGAGCGUAAACUCCUUUUGUUAGGGAAGCGGUACCUGACGAAUAAGCUCCGGCUAACUCCGUGCGAGCCGCCGCGGUAAUUC
rnacentral:rRNA from 1 species